rnacentral:rRNA from 1 species
AGAGUUUGAUCCUGGCCUCAGGAUGAACGCUGGCGGCGCUGCCUAACACAUGCAAGUCGAGCGAUUCUCUUCGGAGAAGAGCGGCGGACGGGUGAGUAACGCGUGGGUAACCUGCCCUGUACACACGGAUAACAUACCGAAAGGUAUGCUAAUACGGGAUAACAUAUUUUGAUGGCAUCAUCGAAAUAUCAAAGCUCCGGCGGUACAGGAUGGACCCGCGUCUGAUUAGCUAGUUGGUGAGGUAAUGGCUCACCAAGGCGACGAUCAGUAGCCGACCUGAGAGGGUGAUCGGCCACAUUGGAACUGAGACACGGUCCAAACUCCUACGGGAGGCAGCAGUGGGGAAUAUUGCACAAUGGGCGAAAGCCUGAUGCAGCAACGCCGCGUGAGCGAUGAAGGCCUUCGGGUCGUAAAGCUCUGUCCUCAAGGAAGAUAAUGACGGUACUUGAGGAGGAAGCCCCGGCUAACUACGUGCCAGCAGCCGCGGUAAUACGUAGGGGGCUAGCGUUAUCCGGAAUUACUGGGCGUAAAGGGUGCGUAGGUGGUUUUUUAAGUCAGAAGUGAAAGGCUACGGCUCAACCGUAGUAAGCUUUUGAAACUGAGAAACUUGAGUGCAGGAGAGGAGAGUAGAAUUCCUAGUGUAGCGGUGAAAUGCGUAGAUAUUAGGAGGAAUACCAGUUGCGAAGGCGGCUCUCUGGACUGUAACUGACACUGAGGCACGAAAGCGUGGGGAGCAAACAGGAUUAGAUACCCUGGUAGUCCACGCCGUAAACGAUGAGUACUAGGUGUCGGGGGUUACCCCCCUCGGUGCCGCAGCUAACGCAUUAAGUACUCCGCCUGGGAAGUACGCUCGCAAGAGUGAAACUCAA